GAAAAAGGGUUUGCACGCGUUUGGCUCCGUUUUCCAACUCCUUCCUUAGUCAUCAGCAAAACGCCCUAGCCUCCACCCAAGAAAGCAAACCCUAGCCUCCACCAAUCUUGUCGCCGUGUGUCGGAGUGAGAGACUGCUGCUGCUGCCUCCGUCGCACUCAAGAACUUCCGCCUUCGUGCUAUCGGCGUUCGUUACUUCGCUCUCACCAUCCCCUGUUCGCUCUCAUCAGUCACCUGUUCGCUCUCUAUCCCCUGUUCGCUGUCAUCAGUCGCCUGUUCGCCGUCGUCCGUUGCGCUCAACCGCUCUCCGUCGUCCGUUGCGCUCAACCGCUCUCCGUCGUCCGUCAAAGGUAACGUACUUUAAUUAGGUGUUGAAACUUCCAUCCAUGACCAGUGUCAACAGGAUGAAUUAGUUGGAUGAAUUAGUGAAAAAUCAGACCGGUGAAACACGGGCGUUGAAAAGGAGAAUGCAUCCAUUCAACAUGAGCUGGGGUUGUGACACGUAGACUGCUGAAACCGGGAUUUAAGAUAUUAACUUAGGAUAUAUUAUAAAAAUUCAAUUGAAAAAAUAAAAAAUAAAAAUUUAAUUAAAAUUUUGAUAAAAUUAUAAAAAUUAGUAAAAUAAUUAAACUAUAAAAUAACAUCUAGACCAAGUAUCCUCAUGUUGAUCAUAAUAUAUGAAUCAUCUAAUUGUAAUGAUACUUUGUAUCUAGCCAUGUUAAUCAGUGAUAACAAGAGAAUAUGCUUAUAUUUUUGGGACAGAGGGGCAAUUCAAUUGUGCGGAAAGAGAACUGACAAAAUUAUCAAAGAGGAGACAAAUUUUUAAGGGCUAAACGAUAAUUCCAAUUGAUGAUUAUUUUUGUAGUGGUUGAAGUGUCACUAACCUUUAAAGGCUAAGCGAUAAUUCCAAUUGAUGAUCAUUUUGUAGUGGUUGAAGGGUCACCUUUAACCUUUAACAUGAAUAAAGAAAGUUUGUGUAUAAUCAAUUAGAAAAAUAAUAAGAUAAGGUAGAAUGAAUCUUUGUCUAGAAUGAUACAUAAGAUUAGGUUCAAGUCAAUAAAGUGUCCCUGAAUGUGGAUGAAAUAACUGGUGAGCAACUUGAAGAUGAAGAAGAGAGAUUUGUCAUUUAUUAGGAGCAGCCAGUAGUCAAAAGGUGUAUAUAAUAUAGAGAUACUGAACUGU